CAGGGAUUGCCCUAGUAACGGCGAGUGAAGCGGCAACAGCUCAAAUUUGAAAUCUGGCUCUUUCAGAGUCCGAGUUGUAAUUUGCAGAGGGCGCUUUGGCUUUGGCAGCGGUCCAAGUUCCUUGGAACAGGACGUCACAGAGGGUGAGAAUCCCGUACGUGGUCGCUAGCUAUUGCCGUGUAAAGCCCCUUCGACGAGUCGAGUUGUUUGGGAAUGCAGCUCUAAAUGGGAGGUAAAUUUCUUCUAAAGCUAAAUAUUGGCCAGAGACCGAUAGCGCACAAGUAGAGUGAUCGAAAGAUGAAAAGCACUUUGGAAAGAGAGUCAAACAGCACGUGAAAUUGUUGAAAGGGAAGCGCUUGCAGCCAGACUUGCUUGCAGUUGCUCAUCCGGGCUUUUGCCCGGUGCACUCUUCUGCAGGCAGGCCAGCAUCAGUUUGGGCGGUGGGAUAAAGGUCUCUGUCACGUACCUCUCUUCGGGGAGGCCUUAUAGGGGAGGCGACAUACCACCAGCCUGGACUGAGGUCCGCGCAUCUGCUAGGAUGCUGGCGUAAUGGCUGUAAGCGGCCCGUCUUGAAACACGGACCAAGGAGUCUAACAUCUAUGCGAGUGUUUGGGUGUCAAGCCCGAGCGCGUAAUGAAAGUGAACGGAGGUGGGAACCCGCAAGGGCGCACCAUCGACCGAUCCUGAAGUUUACGGAAGGAUUUGAGUAAGAGCAUGGCUGUUGGGACCCGAAAGAUGGUGAACUAUGCUUGAAUAGGGUGAAGCCAGAGGAAACUCUGGUGGAGGCUCGCAGCGGUUCUGACGUGCAAAUCGAUCGUCAAAUUUGGGCAUAGGGGCGAAAGACUAAUC
rnacentral:rRNA from 1 species